GACGAACGCUGGCGGCGUGCUUAACACAUGCAAGUCGAACGGUAAGGCCCUUCGGGGUACACGAGUGGCGAACGGGUGAGUAACACGUGGGUGAUCUGCCCUGCACUUCGGGAUAAGCCUGGGAAACUGGGUCUAAUACCGGAUAGGACUCCGGACUGCAUGGUCUGGGGUGGAAAGCUUUUGCGGUGUGGGAUGGGCCCGCGGCCUAUCAGCUUGUUGGUGGGGUGAUGGCCUAGCAAGGCGACGACGGGUAGCCGGCCUGAGAGGGUGACCGGCCACACUGGGACUGAGAUACGGCCCAGACGCCUACGGGAGGCAGCAGUGGGGAAUAUUGCACAAUGGGCGCAAGCCUGAUGCAGCGACGCCGCGUGAGGGAUGACGGCCUUCGGGUUGUAAACCUCUUUCAGCAUCGACGAAGCGAAAGUGACGGUAGGUGCAGAAGAAGGACCGGCCAACUACGUGCCAGCAGCCGCAGUAA
rnacentral:rRNA from 1 species